CAGUAGCCACGGUAAAACAGAGGGUGCGAGCGUUAAUCGGAUUUACUGGGCGUAAAGCGUGCGUAGGCGGCUUCUUAAGUCGGAUGUGAAAUCCCUGAGCUUAACUUAGGAAUUGCAUUCGAUACUGGGAAGCUAGAGUAUGGGAGAGGAUGGUAGAAUUCCAGGUGUAGCGGUGAAAUGCGUAGAGAUCUGGAGGAAUACCGGUGGCGAAGGCGGCCCCCUGGACAAAGACUGACGCUCAGGUGCGAAAGCGUGGGGAGCAAACAGGAUUAGAUACCCCCGUAGUCCCUGUCUCUUAUAC
rnacentral:rRNA from 1 species